ACCACAUCAGAUAAGUCACUGGAUAUCUUAUUAUUGAGAGUCCAUACGAAGUGCAUAUGAACUAAAUAAAGAGUCUCUAUACUCAAGGACAUCACUAGCACUUGGUGUAGGAAGAAUGAAAGCUCUUAGUUAUACAUUGUUUGUUGAUGUUGCUAUAUCUAGCUCUACUAAUGUGAUUGGUUUUGGGUCAAUCAUCUUCUCUGCGGAACAAUGAGUGAUGGUAGCGUUAUCAAAACCUCUACAAGGAGAUUUUUUGGUCCUUCAAGCUGAAACGCUUCCUCUGUUGGUAGGAUUGAAUUGGGCUAACACUCUUGGAUUUCCUAUUCAAGUUGUCUAUUCAGACUCUCUCUCAUUAGUGUUGGCUAUCAAUAGUAGUGCAAAGUAUUUUAAUGAAUUAUGUGUAAUCUUUUAUCUUUUCUGACAUUAGAGAUUUAUUAUCUAAAUUUUCGGGGGCCACCUUAUCUCAUGUGUGCAGUAAUUUUAAUUGUGCAGCAUAUGGAUGGAUUUGAUAAACAUGCCUUAGGUUAGACAAUGUGUUUGGAUGUUUCCUUCACCUAUUUUUACCAUUGUUCCUCUUUAAUCAUAAUGGUGAUAUAGUUACCCAUACAAAAAAUAAAAAAUAAAUUAAAUUAAAAAGUAACUACAAAUUUACUUUUCAUACACAGUACAAAAACGACCCAUUCCAAAUAUUUUCUCCAGUGACGGCAUAUACCAAAUUGACCCACUCUUGAUCCUAAAUGACUGGUGUUGUUGGCGGAAAUGGCUUCUAAAGCUACAAAUAUACCCAUGAGCUCACUUGAAAACGAUGACGAUAUAGGCGAAGUGGGUAACUGGGUAAUGUUCUUCUCGAAUAACUCAUUCUAAUGGUACUAGCCCCAAUUCUUCUAGAGUUGGCCGAAAAACAUGGUCAAAAUGUUGCUGGCGUCGCCUUUGAUUGAGGCGUGUGGCGGUGUCCGGCAACAAUUGGCGGUGUAAUUUCGGCAAAAUACUCAUCUGUAGACCCCAUGUGUAUGGAAAUUAUCUACCGAUGGUCAAUGACACUUGUUUGACCGUGAAGAUAGAAAGACAGAAAAUAGAGGAGAAUUAUUUUUGAAUCUGGUACAUACAAUCCGGUGUUUUUUAAAUUAAAAAAGCUAUGGUAUUUUUGUAAUUAAAAUGGAGAAAACAAUAAUAUAUAAUAUUUAUAAGCUCAAAUUUUACUUUGCAUCGAAAUCGAGUGAUGGGUAAUCAGACGGUAGUCUGCUAAGAGCUCUAGAACUUUCUCCAUCCUUUGAGAAAUAGUUUCUCGUUGGUUCUCCGAUUGUACCCAUUUGUCGCUGAGCGUCCACCCAUUUUUCCUGUGCUUAGUGGUGGUUUUCAUUUCUAUUUCUCUUCAUCAAUCUUUUACUGCUAAGGUCUGUAAGUUCCUUUCCCUAUAUUUAUCUCUUUUCCUAUUUGACAAAUUGUAAAGUUUUCUCAGGCUUUUCUCUUAUUUUCCCUCUAUUUUAUUUUUUUGUUUGGCUGUAAUCUAUAAUUAAUGUCAUUUCUCUUCUCUCCAAGUCAUUUUCUUUUGCUUCCUAUGAUUAUUCCUAAGAUUGGGGAUUCUAAAGCUCUAUUUUGUUGUUAAUUUGAGGCACCAUUACUAGUCAAUCCUAAGAUUAUUCCUCUUAGUUUUCUCUUCUUAAGGAUGAAUUUUAUUAGCUGGAAUGCCCGUGGAUUGGGUAAUCCUAGGGCAAUUAGAAAACUAACCCUACUAGUCAAGCAAUAUCGACCUACUCUUUUGUACCUCAUGGAAACUAGGCUAGUUGCUGGUACUGUACAUAGGCUUAAAAGAUUGUUGAAUUUUGAAAAUGGUAUAGAAGUCCCUAGGAAGCAUUUUGGAGGGGGUUUAAUCCUUUUGUGGAAACAUGAGAUUAAUGUUAAAAUACUUUCUUAUUCUGUAAAUCAUAUAGAUUGCUUUGUUUCUCUUCAUGGUAAUGUUAUGUGGCAUUUUACUGCUUUUUAUGGAGCUCCUUUAUCUAUCGAUAGACUGUAACUUGGACCCUUUUAAAUCAACUUUUUGAUGUUGCUUCGAGUUUAUCGUGGCUUAUAUUAGGAUAUUUUAAUGCUUAUCUGUUCACCUCUGAUAAAUUAGGAGGUAAUUUAGCUAAUAAUAAUACUAUGGCUUCUUUUAAUAGUUUUAUUGAUAAAUAUUCUCUUUUUCGGCUUCCGUUUGUUGGUCCUAAAUUUGCUUGGAAUAAUAAUUUUGUUUAUGAACAACUUGAUUGGGGUGUUGCUAAUGCUUCUUGGUGUGAUCUUUUUCCCCAAGCCUCUCUUUUUCAUUUAGGAUAUUUGGGAUCUGAUCAUAUAGUGCUUAGAAUAGUAUUCCAAGAUUCUGUUUUGUUUAAGUCUUACUUUAAUAAUAAACGUUUCAUGUUUGAUAAUAACUGGCUUGUUGAACCAUCUUUUUUUACUACUAUUAGGGGUACUUGGUCUUCUUUUAAUUUGCAUGUAAAUAUGAAUUCAGAGUCUAAUGAUAAUAGUCCUAAUUCUAUCUCUCUUUUUUGGCUAAGCAGCAGGCUUGUGUCUCUGCCUUAAAAGUUUGGAGUCGUUCAAAUUUUGGUAUUUUUAAAACUAAGCUUAACUCACUGUAUAAAGAUCUAGAUAAAUUACAAUCUAAAGUGCCUUUUACUUCUCAAACUAUUUCUAAUAUAAAAGUUAUUCAGUCUCAGAUCAAUGUUUUGUUAUUUAAGGAGGAGUUUUAUUGGCAUCAAAGAUCUAGGAUUUCUUGGUUAAAAGCUGGAGAUAAAAAAUACUAAGUUUUUUCAUUCUGAGGCUUCUAAGUGUCAUCGCACUAAUCUUAUUAGGUCUCUUACUUUAGAUAAUGGUAAUGUUGUUACUUAUGAAUAUGAUAUUGCUAAUGCCGCUAUAGAUUAUUUUUCUUCCAUUUUUAUUUCUCAGGGCACUAAUGAUGUAGAUGUUACUACUUUACUUACUGGUAUCUUUGUUUCUAUUUCCGCCGAAGAUUUUGCUAAUCUUGAUAGUGUUUUUACUGCUGAAGAAGUUAAAAUAGCCUUGUUUCAACUCUCUCGGGAUAAGGCCCUUGGCCUUGAUGGUUUUAAUGCUUAUUUUUAUCAGAAAAAUUGGGAUACACUUGGUCUUGAUAUGGUUAGGGUUGUUUUAGCUUUUCAUGCUGAUAUUUCUGCUAUUAAUACUACUCUUAUUGUACUUAUUCCUAAAAAUAAAAAAUGCACAUAUUUUGAAAGACUUUCAUCCUAUUAGUUUAUGCUCCACUUUAUAUAAAGUGAUUUCUAGA